CUACGGGGGGCUGCAGUGGGGAAUAUUGGACAAUGGGCGAAAGCCUGAUCCAGCCAUGCCGCGUGUGUGAAGAAGGCCUUCGGGUUGUAAAGCACUUUCAGUGGGGAAGAAAGCCUUGGGGCUAAUACCCUCGAGGAAGGACAUCACCCACAGAAGAAGCACCGGCUAACUCCGUGCCAGCAGCCGCGGUAAUACGGAGGGUGCGAGCGUUAAUCGGAAUUACUGGGCGUAAAGCGCGCGUAGGCGGUCUGAUAAGCCGGUUGUGAAAGCCCCGGGCUCAACCUGGGAACGGCAUCCGGAACUGUCAGGCUAGAGUGCAGGAGAGGAAGGUAGAAUUCCCGGUGUAGCGGUGAAAUGCGUAGAGAUCGGGAGGAAUACCAGUGGCGAAGGCGGCCUUCUGGACUGACACUGACGCUGAGGUGCGAAAGCGUGGGUAGCAAACAGGAUUAGAUACCCUAGUAUC
rnacentral:rRNA from 1 species